rnacentral:rRNA from 1 species
GACGAACGCUGGCGGCGUGCUUAACACAUGCAAGUCGAACGGAAAGGCCUGCUUUCCCUUGUGGAUUGCGGGUACUCGAGUGGCGAACGGGUGAGUAACACGUGAGUGAUCUGCCCCCAACUUGGGUAUAAGCCUGGGAAACUGGGUCUAAUUCCCGAUAGGACUGCAGGGUGGUGCCUGUGGUGGCAAACGAUUUUCUAGUGGUUGGGGAUGAGCUCGCGGCCUAUCAGCUUGUUGGUGGGGUAAUGGCCUACCAAGGCGGCGACGGGUAGCCGGCCUGGGAGGGGGGACGGCCACAUUGGGACUGGGAUACGGCCCAGACUCCUACGGGAGGCAGGAGUGGGGAAUAUUGCACAAUGGGCGGAAGCCUGAUGCAGCGACGCCGCGUGGGGGAUGACGGCCUUCGGGUUGUAAACUCCUUUCGACCGCGAGGAAGCCACCUGGUUGGAAGGGUGGUGACGGUAGUGGUAGAAGAAGCACCGGCUAACUACGUG